GCCCAGACCACUGGAGAGGAAAGAUGUAAGCUGCCCCGCUGGAAAAGGGAUACAAUGGUUUUCUUCAGAGCCCCAGUCAGAUGACAUCUGCUUGCUUCAGCUGGAGCUGUUCACAUGGCAACCUCUAGCAGCAAAGGAGCCCACACACAGGAGGAGGGGGAGAAGCCCUGGAUGGGGAGUUUGCAAGCCCUGCCGUGCUUUGAGCAAAGUCUGGUUCUGGGGGCUGGAGCUAGGGCUCAGCAGGUGUGACAUCCUUAACUCCCAGUCACUGGGAGGGAAUAGUUCUGGAAAACAGAAGAAGUCCUAACAAUGAAAGUCUAAGCUUUCAGCUCCAUUCUCCACUAAGAAGCUGGAAUGAAGAUGACUCCAGACCUUUGGAGGUGACUGACAGUGGAGAGAGCCCAGUCCAAGCUUGGGAACUUACAAAGACACCUGAAAGACAUGCUGAAACUCACCCUAUGACCAUUGGAUGCUAGGGACCAGGAUCUCACAAGUAAGCUGACAUCUUGUUCCUACCACCUACAUGGCUAGCUAGCACCAGGGUGUGAAACUCAGAGAAAUCAUAGUCUCGGGUCUACUGUACAAAGCCUCGUCCAUGGCAUGGAGAUGAUCUGUGAUGGAUUCAACCCCUUCACAGACAUUGGACUCUCAAGGAGAAGACAGCCCAUUUUCAUGAAGGCUCUCUGGGUUUAUGUCUUUGUCACAUACCACAAAAACUCCCCUGUGCUCACUAAGAAGUUGGCUAAAGGACAAACGGCUUCUGUUGGAAUCAUGAGGAAGCAAAAUGUGUCUCCGCCAUGGUACCUUCUAAGAAAUUGUCAAGAAUAACAUGGCCAUGGGCUGGCAAUGGAACUGUUAGUAGAUUGCUUGCCUAGUAUGCAUGAGGCUCUGUAUUUGAUCAUCAGCACCAAGAUAAAGCCAGACAUGCCUGUAAUCCCAGCAUUUGGGAGGUGGAGGCAGGAUGAUUAUAAUUUCAAGGUCAUUCUUGCUACAUAGUGGAUAGCCUGGGCUACACGAUUCCCACCAAAGAGCAAAACAAAGGCCCCUCUGGAAUUGGUUCCUUUCACAAUAAAUUUGGAAUUUGAGCUCUGGAUUAGGGAUUUGCAUAUGCAAAACAUCUAAAACCACAAACACUGCAUUUAUCUUUAUGAGGGGGGGUCCACACAUUAGCCAAGUUCUCUGCCACUCAGAUUCUCCCCCAGCCCUCACUGUACUUCUUGUUGUCUACUCAGCUGCCUGAGUAGUCUAGCUGGAGCUUGAAGACCUCCCUGACUUUGAGAGCAGUUGAGUUUCUCAUCUUGUUUCUUGGUCACAGUGGUCAUCACAGUACUUUGUGACUCCCUCGGAGCCACGAGUCCCUGUUUAUGGCCACAAUGAAGACAAUUUCCAAUCUAUCCUCUGAGUUCAUAGGUAUUAAGGCUUGUUCUUCAGCCCUAAAAGUCAUUUGAGAAAUAUAAGUUAGGGCUACACAGAACCAAAAUUUUCUGAUAUUUAAAGAGCCACGGGGAACAACAGAACAGAACAUUUCCUGUUAGCAUGGUCCAGGAAAUUCCAGCACAUAUGACUUCCAUAGCUGUGGACACAGCAUGUCAGAAUCAAGAGCACGAAGGAGUGUGGUGGUUGGUUUUUGUCAAUUUGACACAGUAGUUACUUGGUAAGAAGGAACUACAGCCAAGAAAAUGCUUCCAUCAUAUUUCCUGUAGGAAGUUAAUGAUUGGUGUGGGGGAGUGCUGGAGAAUGUGGAAAUAUACAGCAUAUGGCAGCUGAUAAUUCAGAUGUCAGCCUAGCAGAGGAGUGACUGAUGGAGGUCAGUCCUGUCCACGUGAGGCCUGCAGGACCAUCGACUCUGGAAAUUGCUGCCCACUUUUGCUAAAGCAGAUUGGUGUCUCCCCAGUACCUGCACUGUAGUGUGUAAU